rnacentral:rRNA from 1 species
AGAGUUUGAUCAUGGCUCAGAUUGAACGCUGGCGGCAUGCUUUACACAUGCAAGUCGAGCGGCAGCGCGGGGCAACCGUGGCGGCGAGCGGCGGACGGGUGAGUAAUGCAUCGGAACGUAUCCCGUAGUGGGGACAACCCAGCGAAAGCUGGGCUAAUACCGCAUAUGCUCUACGGAGGAAAGUGGGGGACCCGCAAGGGCCUCACGCUAUGGGAGCGGCCGAUGUCCGAUUAGCUAGUUGGUGGGGUAAAGGCCCACCAAGGCGACGAUCGGUAGCUGGUCUGAGAGGAUGAUCAGCCACACUGGGACUGAGACACGGCCCAGACUCCUACGGGAGGCAGCAGUGGGGAAUUUUGGACAAUGGGGGCAACCCUGAUCCAGCCAUGCCGCGUGCGGGAAGAAGGCCUUCGGGUUGUAAACCGCUUUUGGUCGGGAAGAAAAGGCGUCUCCUAAUACGGGGCGUUCUUGACGGUACCGGCAGAAUAAGCACCGGCUAACUACGUG